rnacentral:rRNA from 1 species
CCUACGGGAGGCAGCAGUGGGGAAUUUUGGACAAUGGGCGAAAGCCUGAUCCAGCAAUGCCGCGUGAGUGAAGAAGGCCUUCGGGUUGUAAAGCUCUUUUGUCAGGGAAGAAACGGUGGGAGCUAAUAUCUCUUGCUAAUGACGGUACCUGAAGAAUAAGCACCGGCUAACUACGUGCCAGCAGCCGCGGUAAUACGUAGGGUGCAAGCGUUAAUCGGAAUUACUGGGCGUAAAGCGUGCGCAGGCGGUUUUGUAAGUCUGAUGUGAAAUCCCCGGGCUCAACCUGGGAAUUGCGUUGGAGACUGCAAGGCUAGAAUCUGGCAGAGGGGGGUAGAAUUCCACGUGUAGCAGUGAAAUGCGUAGAUAUGUGGAGGAACACCGAUGGCGAAGGCAGCCCCCUGGGUCAAGAUUGACGCUCAUGCACGAAAGCGUGGGGAGCAAACAGGAUUAGAUACCCUGGUAGUCCACGCCCUAAACGAUGUCUACUAGUUGUCGGGUCUUAAUUGACUUGGUAACGCAGCUAACGCGUGAAGUAGACCGCCUGGGGAAGUACGGUCGCAAGAUUAAAACUUCGAAAGGAAUUGACGGCUUGGNGAGNGCGAGGCGACGACGAGGGAGGAGG